UACGAGGGGGGCUAGCGUUGCUCGGAAUCACUGGGCGUAAAGGGUGCGUAGGCGGGUCUUUAAGUCAGGGGUGAAAUCCUGGAGCUCAACUCCAGAACUGCCUUUGAUACUGAAGAUCUUGAGUUCGGGAGAGGUGAGUGGAACUGCGAGUGUAGAGGUGAAAUUCGUAGAUAUUCGCAAGAACACCAGUGGCGAAGGCGGCUCACUGGCCCGAUACUGACGCUGAGGCACGAAAGCUAGGGGAGCAAACGGG
rnacentral:rRNA from 1 species